CAUCACUACCUCCUUUGCGCAAAUACUUGAUCCACGUCACUUACCAAGCUUCCACCUAUGUCGUCGGAGUAGCCGGAUGGGCCACCAGACUGAAAAUCAUUAGCGAAUCUGUCGGAAUCGAACCAUUCAGGAGUACAUUCGUGGAACAAGGUGCCCCUUUCUCUUGGCACCCAUUUCGUCAUUGUCUUCUUUUGCACGGACCCCUCUCUCUCCUCUGAAACUUCUCCAUCACUCUUGCUUCUCAAACACACUUAUUUAGGGUUUGUCUUUCAUUAAAAUCAUCACUGCAAAAAGUAGCAGGAGCUUAAGAACACGAGAAUGAGUGUUUCAAAGUUCAUAAAAUUGUCUCUGUUGGUGAUGGAGCUAUUGGCAAGACUUGUAUGCUCAUUUGUUACACAAGCAGCAAGUUCCACAUUGUAAAUCUUUCUUUCUCUGUAUAUACAUACAUAUAGAUUUUCAUGUAAUUUCUUGGAAAAACCCACUUUAUUUCAAAUUCUUUAGCUGUUAACCUUCUUAUUUAUAGGAUUAUCUUCUGAAUUUGUUCUUCUGAGUAACCUUAACCUAAUUUCAGAUUCUUUAGAUGAUCAUUUAGCUCCCUUCUUCUAAAUUAGACAUUCUUUUACAACUUCCACUUCACAAAUUACAAGUCACCACAACAUUUUUACCUAAGUUUUUGCUAAGUAUAAUCUGUGGGCUUGAUCUUUUGGUUAAUUCCAGUGCUAAUGUGGAUGUGGAAGGAAAUAUGGUAAACUUAGGAUUAUGGGAUACUGCUGGUAUUUUCUUUAAAAUCCAAUAUUCAAUGAGUGCAUUGUACAUAAUUUGUUACAGGAUAUUUUGGGUAAUUAAUAAUUAUUUUCAUGUGAUUUAUCAGUAAUGUUAGUGGUGUUGUGAAGGUUCCGGAAGGACAUUGUUGGGUAGAAGGUGACAACUCAGCUUCUAGCUUUGAUUCAAGAUCAUUUGGCCCCAUAUAUUACCUUUAUAUUUGAUUAAUUAUGAUACCAUUUUGAAAUUUAACAUUUGUGGUUAUAUAGGAUUCUUUCCAUCAAUCUUGUUGUCUGCCACAAUAAGUCCGAUCAUUAGAAAUGUUUUAAAGAUUUGGUCUUAACUCCAGACUUUGUAUGGAAAGAUCGUUGGCAUGGUGCUGCACAACGUUGGUGGAUUCUUGUUGAGGAUUCAGAGAAUGAUCAUAUCUACCCUUCGGAACUUUUUACAUUGACAAAACGAGCAACAAAAGGUGAACCACAUAAGCUUUCCUUCACUGUGCCAAUUUUUGAACCACAUCAUCCUCAAUACUACAUUUGUGUUGUUUCUGAUUCUUGGUUGCAUUCUGAGGCUUUCUAUACUAUCUCUUUCAAAUACCUAGCCCUACCGGAGGUGAUUUUAGUAAAUUAACAUUCAGAAAUGUUUGUGAUUGUCGAUUCUUGUUUUAUAGUUAAAUUUGGUAUUUUUUUUUCUUUUAUCCAUACAACACACACUGAACUUCUAGAUUUGAAGCCACUUCCUGUGACAGUUAGUUCUCAGCUUCUGGUAUGGUAUCAUCAAUCAUGUUUAUUGAUAAAAGUUGGUGUUGAAUGAAUUUGUAAUUAUGUAUUAGGAAAAUGGGUUUUCGUUGGAGGAGGAUUUGGAUGCUCCUCCUGGGCAGCGUUAUAAAAUGAAAGUUGUCCCCACCAGUAAGAACAUAACUUUUGGUGUUGCAGAUCUGGUUUUGAAUUACUAAUGUUGGAACUUCAAUUGUUGAUGUUUGUUUUUCGUUCUGGGACAGCCUCUGAGGCUCGAUAUCAAGGAAGCUUGCUCAAAGAUCAGAAAGAGUAAAAUCGGUGGACCUGUAUCCUAUGGAACCAUGGUAAUGAUUCACAUGUCAUAUAGAAGUAUACCAGUAUGUAUGUUAGUAACUUUUUUCUUCUUGUUCUGAAAUUGGCUGACAUUGCUCCUUUUGGUUAUGACUUCUAUAUUUUUAAUAGCUUAACUUUGAGCCUCAAUGUGAA